rnacentral:tRNA from 1 species
CAAAAUAGAGCUUGAUAGUUGAGUUACUCGUUUACACCGAGGAGGAUUCUGUGCAAUUCAGAUUGUUUUGA